CUCGGUCAGCUCGCUCAGACCUGACUAAGCGAAGCGGUCAGACCGGAGGUAAUAUCUGCGUCGCUGUUCAAGGACGGUGACAACUGAGGUAUCCCAAGGGGCUGAAAAGUUACACCCUGGUCGCUUCAUUUCUGCUGGACAGGUCACCUGCAGAUUUGGAGUCUUCCGUAACCAUGUACUUUUCACCAGUAUCUGACUGGUCUGGAUUACAACCACCUUGUCCACAGUCCAGCCAGGAGAAAAGCUGAUGACACAAUUCAGUACAGCAAGGUGUACAGACCUGGAGUUACAUCGCAGACCUGGAGUGCCGGAGUGCCAUCCUGCUCUGAUGGUUGUCUACUACUGAGGAGUGCUGAGCCCGAGCCCUGUUGCUGCAGCGUCAGCCAGAAGGUGUCACUCCAUCUACAAGGGUUUUGCUCAGUGUCUGAUGGCUCUAGGCGAUAGUCUGACGGACAGCGC